rnacentral:rRNA from 1 species
UACGGGGGGGGCAAGCGUUGUUCGGAAUUACUGGGCGUAAAGGGCUCGUAGGUGGCCAACUAAGUCAGACGUGAAAUCCCUCGGCUUAACCGGGGAACUGCGUCUGAUACUGGAUGGCUAGAGUUUGGGAGAGGGAUGCGGAAUUCCAGGUGUAGCGGUGAAAUGCGUAGAUAUCUGGAGGAACACCGGUGGCGAAGGCGGCAUCCUGGACCAACACUGACACUGAGGAGCGAAAGCCAGGGGAGCAAACGGG